rnacentral:misc_RNA from 1 species
GAAAUGCGAUACGUGAUGCGAAUCGCAGAGAUCGGCGAGUCAUCCAAGUUUCGAACGCACCCUGCGCUCUUGGUGUUCCUGAGAGCGCGUCCGUCUGAGCGUCGCCCCAUUCCUUCUCAUUAACCUUAAUCUGGUGAAUGGAUCAUGGACACUUGCUGUGAUAUAAGUCAGUGGCGAUGUCCUGAGUAUAAGUGAUCGCAGUACCAUUCUACAUAAGGUGGUACCGCAUUGGCAACGAGGGGACAUGUCCCUUCAAGUCCAGUGCUGUGGUGCUGACUUGUGUAGUCGGGUACAGCAGUCUUCAUAAAGACGAUAGUGUGCUACCAUCAAGGACCGACCUCAGAUCGGGCGCCAUAACCCGCCGAACUUAA